rnacentral:rRNA from 1 species
UACGGGGGGAGCAAGCGUUGUUCGGAUUUACUGGGCGUAAAGGGCGCGUAGGCGGCGUGACAAGUCACUUGUGAAAUCUCCGGGCUUAACUCAGAACGGUCAAGUGAUACUGUCGUGCUAGAGUACAGAAGGGGCAACUGGAAUUCUCGGUGUAGCGGUGAAAUGCGUAGAUAUCGAGAGGAACACCUGCGGCGAAGGCGGGUUGCUGGGCUGACACUGACGCUGAGGCGCGAAAGCUAGGGGAGCGAACGGG